CAAGCCCUUCCGGUUUUUUCGACGACAGCCAUAGAUCGUCCAAAGUGUCGGCGAGUGUAUAUAUAAAGUAAAACGCAGUGACGCAGCAAUAGGAGGAGAUACGAGGGUAUACGAAAGUGCAGGAAUAACGACCGCCGGUCACUUUUCAGCGCCCCCGUCAUUUUUCACAGAGGCGUGCGGUAUACGUUGGCACACCGUAUUUUCGAAACAAAAAAAAAAAAAAGCACACGUUUAUUUCUGCGAGGAUAUUCUGUCUUGUCUCCGUAUAAGAUUCCAUGUAAGAUUCCCCUAACCAGGGUCCGGAACUUAAAGAGCUUGCUUAGUUUUUCGGUUUGACAUUAAAUCUUGCA